GACGAACGCUGGCGGCGUGCCUAAUACAUGCAAGUAGAACGCUGAAGGAGGAGCUUGCUUCUCCGGAUGAGUUGCGAACGGGUGAGUAACGCGUAGGUAACCUGCCUGGUAGCGGGGGAUAACUAUUGGAAACGAUAGCUAAUACCGCAUAACAGUAGACGUUGCAUGACAUUUGCUUAAAAGGUGCAAUUGCAUUACUACCAGAUGGACCUGCGUUGUAUUAGCUAGUUGGUGAGGUAACGGCUCACCAAGGCGACGAUACAUAGCCGACCUGAGAGGGUGAUCGGCCACACUGGGACUUAGACACGGCCCAGACUCCUACGGGAGGCAGCAGUAGGGAAUCUUCGGCAAUGGACGGAAGUCUGACCGAGCAACGCCGCGUGAGUGAAGAAGGUUUUCGGAUCGUAAAGCUCUGUUGUAAGAGAAGAACGAGUGUGAGAGUGGAAAGUUCACACUGUGACGGUAUCUUACCAGAAAGGGACGGCUAACUACGUG
rnacentral:rRNA from 1 species